rnacentral:rRNA from 2 species
GUUGACCUCGGAUCAGGUAGGAAUACCCGCUGAACUUAAGCAUAUCAAUAAGCGGGAGGAA